UGCAACGCGAUGGGAGAACCGGCAGCCGCCGGUGCCGAAGGAGCAACCGCCCCGGAAACUCUCAGGCCCAUGGACCACCGCGGACCG
rnacentral:ncRNA from 2 species